UACGGGGGGGCAAGCGGUUGUUCGGAUUUACUGGGCGUAAAGAGCGCGCAGGCGGUCGUUCAAGUCGAGUGUGAAAGCCCCCGGCUCAACUGGGGAGGGUCAUUCGAUACUGAUCGACUUGAAGGCAGGAGAGGGAAGUGGAAUUCCCGGUGUAGUGGUGAAAUGCGUAGAUAUCGGGAGGAACACCAGUGGCGAAGGCGAGUCCCUGGACAAGCACGUGACACUGAGGCACGAAAGCUAGGGGAGCAAACGGGAGUUA
rnacentral:rRNA from 1 species